rnacentral:lncRNA from 1 species
UCAGGCUGGGACCCCUAAAAUAAUGUGAGACCUAACUAACUCUAUUUUAAAGUUUGACUCUAUCUUAAAUAUAAGACAGUAAAAUGGCCUUGACAUAAAUUUCACUUCACUGAAGUCAACUAUUUUCCUAGUCUCCUUUGUGUCCAUAAACUAAUGAUAAAAUGUCCUUGCUGUGGAAAAAAAGACACAGCUCCUAACUCAAUCCUCUGUCUGCCCAGAAAACAGAUGCUCCCGGGCCCAUUAUCUAUGGAACAUUCUGUCAAUGUGCUGAUUGUUCCUUUUUCCCAUAAACUCUACAUGUAGCCACCCCUCAACCCCCCAUGCUUGGUAAAUAUCAACCAAUCAUGUAACUGCUAAAUGGAACAUCCCCAAACCUUACGGUAGCCACAAUAAAAACCCUGCUGAUUUGGAAUUCGGGGCUCUCAAUCCUGAUCCGCUGCAUCGGUAAUGGUUGAGUGCCCCUGCUCAAGCUUGAAUAGAUGACCCUCGUGUGUUUACAUUGGAAAUGGCUCCUUGGUGGUCUUUGGGGACUUUGCGAUCUGGGCACAACAAUAACAGGGAAGAAAUUUGCCUUGAGUACUCCAAAGUGCAGUGGAAGAGCACAGAGGAGGUGAGCUGCUCCCAGGGGACAGGAGGAAGCUUCCAGGCCUCCAUACCAACCCCUCAGCAGAGGAGGUGAGCGAUGCAGGCAUCAGCAGCAACCCCGCCCCCCAUUGAAAUGAGAAGACAUGUAAAUGAGUUUCAAAACCAGACUUGCAGAUCUCCUAAAACAAUCCCAAAGGGAAAGAAAAUGGAACAUUGUGAUGCUCAACUACCUGGACUCCCAGAACUGGCAACAG